GAUGAACGCUGGCGGCGUGCAUAAUACAUGCAAGCCGAGCGAACAGACGAGGAGCUUUCUCUUCUGACGUUAGCGGCGGACGGGUGUGUCACACGUGGAUAACCUCCCUAUACGACUGGGAUAACUUCGGGAAACCGGCGCUAAUACCGGAUAAUAUAUCGAACCGCAUGGUUCAAUAUUGAAAGACGGUUUUGCUUUCACUUAUAGAUGUAUCUGCGCCGCAUGAGCUAGUUGGUAAGGUACCGGCUUACCAAGGCAACGAGGCGUAGCCGACCUGAAAGGGAGAUCGGCCACACUGGAAGUGAGACAGGCUCCAGACUCCGACGGGAGGCAGCAGUAGGGAAUCCGCCGCAACGGGCGAAAGCCGGACGGAGCAACGCCGCGUGAGGGAGGAAGGCCUUCGGAUCGUAAAACGCUGUUAUGAGGGAAGAACAAAUGUGUAAGUAACGAUGCACAGCUUGACGGUACCGGAUCAGAAAGCCACGGCUAACUACGGG
rnacentral:rRNA from 1 species